UCGAAAUUGCAGUGGCCCAUAUUGUUCAUAAAGUCCAGGUAAGUGACGUAGGCAGCUAAGGCAAUAACGGAGACGGUACCAGUUAGCACCGUUGUCAAGAUGGGUAUUGAAAAAGGAGGAAGUAUGCUAUGGCUCUGCAAAUGGAUGAAUCACAGCUGCCACAGCCACAGAUGGUUCAGUACCAUAACCAUGUGGAUUGAUGAUUAAAUUACGUACGUAGGUGAUGAAGUCUUACAAGUCGAGAGUAAAGAUAAUGGUGAUGCAGUGCUCUAUGAAGCCAGUAGUAAAGGAACUCCACAGGGCCGGCAUGGAGCAACAUGGUUAUAAUCACACCAUCCAAUCUCCAAAAGGGUAAGUGUGAACCUCCUGGAACGUAGAUGUUGCCCAAGUAAAACAGGAUUGCGUUGAACAUUAUUUGAUCAUCCCUGCAUGCAGCCAUUAAUUAAUUAAUUGUCGUCAUUGGGUAAUUAAAAAAAAAAAAGAUUUUUUGUUGCUCAUAAAAUAAAAAUAUUAUCAUAAUACUCCUGUUCUUAAAGCAAGACAGUCUUCACAAAAUAAAGUAUCGUAGGUAGGCAUUUAAUUUAAAAUUAUUUAAUUGAGUUAGAGUGAAAGGAAGGGCUUACGAUGGAGUAUAAAUGAUGUACUUGAGAGGAGGGAGAAGGGUGAAGAGCCAGUUAGGAAUAAGCUCGAAAUUGCAGUGGCCCAUAUUGUUCAUAAAGUCCAGGUAAGUGACGUAGGCAGCUAAGGCAAUAACGGAGACGGUACCAGUUAGCACCGUUGUCAAGAUGGGUAUUGAAAACAGGAGGAAGUAUGCUAUGUGCUCUGCAAAUGGAUGAAUCACAGCU
rnacentral:lncRNA from 1 species